AUUGAGUAAUCAGAUAAAAAGUACUUUUGCGUUUUUAAACAACAUCAAUAGUCCAGGGAUCUCCCUAAGCAAUGGUACAAUGUCGCUGCGCCAUCAAACAGCUUGUCUAAUUUA